UCCCCAAACAAUUACAAACCCUUCUCCCACAUACCACAGUCCCACUCCCAGAGCUCCCUCCCACACGCCACACCGCUCCUCCCACACGCCACACCCGCCGGCGACUCCUUCCGCAGCGACUCCUUCCGCCGGUGGAGAGCUCAAUCUGGUGGAGAGCUCAAUUUCGCUCUUUUAAUCCCGUUGCAGAAUUCGAAAGGGUCUAUCUCAAUCAGCUUCCACCGAUUCUUUAUUUGUUGUCUGUUUGAAGAUGGAAACUUCAGAAUCUCUCACCCAAGACGUAGGUAGCAACCGGCCAGACCUCGAUAUUCUUGAAGCUAUUGAAAUUGAAGAACUAGGGCUAGGAGAAGAAGGAUUGGUUGAGGUCUAGUUCAAGUGAUCCAGAUCAAAGUUAAAUUAAUCGUGCAUUUGUUUUGGAAUUUUGAAAAUUGAACUUGGAGGUUUUCUUUUGAAUAUUUUAACUUUGAAUGUUUGUUGGAUUGAGUAGGUUGUAAACUUUGUUGGAUUGACCAUGUUGUUUUGGAAACUUUGAACGGUGUUUACUUUUUUUGAAUAUUUGAACUUUUGGUACUAUAA